GUUUAGCUGGGAUCUCCCGGAGCCCCGCAGCCGGGCCAGCAAGAUCCGAGUGCACCCGCGGGGCAAUCUCUGGGCCACCGACACCUCUUCUUCUCCACUUCCUUCUCUGCCGUUCCCGUCCCUCUUCUAAGCAGACAGCACAACUGGCAGAGUUUCUUCCUGGCCCUGGGGCAUCCCACCCUCCUUCCAGCUGUGCCAUCCCCUCCACCCCAUCUACCUGCUCAGGAAAAGCUGAGGUCACUUCAUGGGCAAGAAGAGUCUGGAGCCCCCCAGCCCAUCCCUAUUGGGGACAGCUCCCCACAUCUCCCUGAGGGACCAGAGACUGCAGCUGAGUCAUGAUCUGCU